rnacentral:lncRNA from 1 species
AUUACCUGUUGUGACUGACCCAGGUGCGUCGUCCCAGACACCCGAUGUUACAAGACCGUUAUAAAAAGUCUCAUUUUCACUGUUCUUCGUGCCUCUAAGUCCAUUCUUUGGGUUUGAACGGGUGAGUGUGUUUCUCACAACCUGAGGGCCCGUUCGGGAUCUCUGUGCCUACGUGGAGUGGGACUCCGGCUGAGAGAAGAGACAUGUCCCACCCGAUUUUUGUGCCCCACUCUGUCUGGGUGUCCUGGCUCCCCACAGAAGCCAUAGAUAAACCCGAGACUGUUAUUCAGGAGACGGUGGAGGUGACGCAGGGAGAAAAGCAGGCACUGCGGCAAACAGGCAACCUCGUGCACCAGCCAAGGUUGGGUAUUUCCUUCAGCCUAUUAAAGGAAUUGGGAACCUGUGGUACCUUCCUUUGAGUGUCACGGGAGUACCAUCUCUUUACCUUGGCAAGAGCAGAUCCUUCAUAUCUGUAGUUGAAUCACACACUCUCAGAUAUCUGAGCUUGAAUUCUACAGGGACACUUAUCUCAGCUUUUGAGUUUUAGGAGAAAUAGCCUGCAGACCAGAGAAUAAGGAAAAGUUGUUUCCUGCCAAAGAACAAGCAGUAUUGUGAAAUAUAAAAUUUUAUUGUUGCGGUGAAAGAAAAUUUCAGUAUCAAAUUUUUGAAAACACCAUGUAAGAGAUGCCUGCUUUCCCUUCACCUUCCGGCAUGAUUGUAAGUUUCCUGAGGCCUCUCCAGACAUGCUUCCUGUACAGCCUGUAGAACUAUUCUGACACCUCCACUUCACACAAAACACUCCACUUUAGAGUUCCUUGGCCCCUUAAAGCAUUGCAUGCUACUCCCUCAAACCUUUUUCUGGUAUCAACAACACAUCUUGGCUGGUGGAAACUGCUUAAUAACAUUUGCAUGAAAAUGUGUUUAGUCAAGGUACCCUUUUCUCCUCUGGCCAAAUAUCAGCAUUCAAUCUAAUACAAAACACUUGAAUUCUCUCUGGCAGAAAAUGCAAUCCUGAGGGAUACGACAAAAAAAAAUAAAAGCUAUUUUCUGCCUGAUUAAUCUGUUCAUUAGCUUCUAAUUUCUAGAUCCCUGUAGCUACAAAAUGCCUGUCCUUCAGAGACUUAGGCCAAUUUUGCCUAUAAGCCUAUGAGUUAGCAUAUGUCUUCACAGUAUCUUGGAGUGGCUGGAGGUAGAGUGAUAUAUUAGCCAGAACUGGAGUCUGUUAUUUGCAACCAAGAUACCUAAAUAAUAUUAUUAAAAAGUAUAAUAUUGACCAAAAUAUAGAUUUCUAGGACAAAUUUGUACAUUCAGUGAAAGGAAAAGCACAGUUAAAAUCUGUAUAGUUUCAAUGAAAGACUCAUCCUCUUCGGUUUGGUUUGGGGUGCCUUUAUACUUAGGAUUUCUCUGCUCAAUCUUUCAUUUCUACUACCAAGUGCAAUAAUAUAGGUUAAGAAUCUUUAUUGGACUGGGAAGGAAGUACCCACUCCUUGAUUAUCCCUUUAUCCAGGCUUGUAAACUAAGGCAAAACCGGGCCUUGACACAAAGAAAAGAAGGAAUGAAGAAAGCUGUUUUAUAUUUUUUCUUAGUUAAAUCAUGAAACUCAAAACUAAAAAAAAAAAAAAAGUCUCCUGGGCCCACACUUGCUUAAUGCAAAAUCAGAAAAUGUACGGAACUCCAAACAAAUGCUAGCAAUCCACUGAAAUCAUCAUUUGAAUUAAAACUAUAUUUAGUCUUCAUAAGCCUAACACAGUUCACAUUAAAUUUCAAAGGUGACUCCUAAUUACACAUAUGCAAUCUUACAAAUCAAUAGAGAAAUUCAGGCAAUCCCAUAGAUGUAUGAGAAAAUGAAUUGGAUAGGCCUUUUAUAAAAUGUAAUAUCCAAAUGGCCAAUGAACACAGAAAAUGUGAUUAUUUUAUUGGUCAUAAAAAUACAAAUUAAAACUAUAAUAUCCUACAAAUCUAAUGUAAAGCAAGGUGACUAUUGUGAAUAAUACUGUAAUGUAUACUUGAAAUUUGCAAGAGUAGGUAUUAAAUGUUUUCAUCUUUCCCCCAAAAUUGAUACCAAUGUAAGAUGGUGGAUAUUUUAAUUAGCCUGAUUGUGGUAAUCAUUUAGCAAUGCAUACAUAUACAAAAACAUCGUGUUGUACACCUUAAAUAGGUAUAAUUUUUUUUUUUUUUUUUUUGAGACGGAGUCUUGCUUUGUUGCCAGGCUGGAGUGCAGUGGUGCGAUCUCCGCUCACUGCAACCUCCGCCUCCUGGGUUCAAGCGAUUCUCCUGCCUCAGCCUCCUGAGUAGCUGGGACUACAGGCGUGCACUACCACGCCCAGUUAAUUUUUUGUAUUUUUAGUAGAGGCGGUGUUUUACCAUGUUGGCCAGUAUGAGAUACAGUUUUUAUUUGGAAUUAUUAUACCUCAAUAAAGCUGAGAGAGAGAAACCUAUAAUAUUCUACUAUUACACAGCUGUUAGGAUUGCUAAAAUGAAAAUGAGGAAAAUAAGAAGUAUUGGCAAGGAUAUGGAGCAACUUAAAUUCUCAUAUGUAGCUGAUAGAAAUGUAAAACUGAUAGGCAGAAUAUGUUAAAAGGAGUGUAUAAAUAUACUGUAACUCAAUAAUUUUACUACCAGUUAUGUUCUCAUGUAAAUAUGUAAUAUGUUCUCAAAAUGUUAUAUACAGGGAUUUUAAAAGUGACACUACUUAUACUUGCCCAAAAGGAAACCAAUACAAAUGUUAUCAAAAACACAUUGAUACAUAAAUUGUAUUACAUUUAUACAACAAAAUAAUACUUUACCGCAAUGAAAAUGGAUAAACUACAAUUACAUACAACCAUAUGGAUGACUCUCAACUGCAUAGUGUUAAAUGAGACAAGUCAAUUCAAAAAGUACAUGUAUAUUGGAUGAUAUCAUUUGCAUAAUAUUCAAAAACUAAUUAUGAGGCUACAAAUCAGAAUACUGGUAAGGCUUGGGGAGAGCAGUAUUGAGAAGAGGGAAGGAGAGAGUGUGCAGUUUCUGGAGAAGUUCUGUUUCUUGUUCCUCUUGCCAGUUACACCAUUGAAUUCAUUUAGUGAAAAACUUAUCAAACAACCUACUUUUUAUUGGUGUACUUUUCUAGGCACAUGAUGUACUUGGAUAAAAUAUUUACUGUAAAAAUAAGUGGCUGAAAUAAAAAUCAGUGUUACAGAUCUUGAAUAUUUCCUGUGAAGAGACAAAGCUUACAUGACAUUAGUGAGCAAAAAUUUGUUUACUUGUAAUAUUGUACCAAUUAUUAAAAACACUUCCCAUAUCUCAUCUACUGUCUAUCUUUCCUUGAUAACCCUUAGUGCAGUGAAAUAAAAUCUUAGUAAUCAAUUAUUGUUGGCUGAUGCAAAAAGGACAGAAUUAGUUCUAAGAGUAAUGAAGUGAAACAGUAUAUCAAAAAAAGAUAGAACAUUAGGUACUAACAAACUACUUUAGAAUAUUUUUUGGUUUAAAAAUAUUCAGAAAUAUGCAUGAAAAUAGAACUUUAAACAUACUCAUGACCACAUCCUCCCACAAUAGGGUCUAGCUUGUAUAGUCAAUAUAUUUGCUGUGGAACUUUGGAAAAAUGGUAUUAUAAACAAUGUUCUAAGAAUAAAUGAUAAAACGAAAUGAAAUUUGACAAAAUGUAAUUUUUUAAUUAGAAAAAAAACACCCUGA